UACGUAGGCAGCAAGCGUUGUUCGGAAUUACUGGGCGUAAAGAGUGUGUAGGCGGUGCUCUAAGUUCGGUGUGAAAUCUCCCGGCUCAACUGGGAGGGUGCGCCGAAUACUGAGUGACUCGAGUGCGGGAGAGGAAAGUGGAAUUCCUGGUGUAGCGGUGAAAUGCGUAGAUAUCAGGAGGAACACCGGUGGUGUAGACGGCUUUCUGGACCGUAACUGACGCUGAGACACGAAAGCGUGGGUAGCAAACAGG
rnacentral:rRNA from 1 species